GCGUCUGGGCACGGACCGCAGCUGAUGCAGCAACGCCGCGUGCGGGAUGACGGCCUUCGGGUUGUAAACCGCUUUCGCCUGUGACGAAGCGUGAGUGACGGUAAUGGGUAAAGAAGCACCGGCUAACUACGUGCCAGCAGCCGCGGUGAUACGUAGGGUGCGAGCGUUGUCCGGAUUUAUUGGGCGUAAAGGGCUCGUAGGUGGUUGAUCGCGUCGGAAGUGUAAUCUUGGGGCUUAACCCUGAGCGUGCUUUCGAUACGGGUUGACUUGAGGAAGGUAGGGGAGAAUGGAAUUCCUGGUGGAGCGGUGGAAUGCGCAAAUAUCAGGAGGAACACCAGUGGCGAAGGCGGUUCUCUAGGCCUUUCCUGACGCUGAGGAGCGAAAGCGUGGGGAGCGAACAGGCUUAGAUACCCUGGUAGUCCACGCUGUAAACGGUGGGUACUAGGUGUGGGGUCCAUUCCACGGGUUCCGUGCCGUACCUAACGCUUUAAGUACCCCGCCUGGGGAGUACGGCCGCAAGGCUAAAACUCAAAGGAAUUGACGGUGUGAA
rnacentral:rRNA from 1 species